rnacentral:rRNA from 1 species
CGGACGGGUGAGUAAUGCUUGGGAAUCUGGCUUAUGGAGGGGGAUAACUACGGGAAACUGUAGCUAAUACCGCGUAAUAUCUUCGGAUUAAAGGGUGGGACUUUCGGGCCACCUGCCAUAAGAUGAGCCCAAGUGGGAUUAGGUAGUUGGUGGGGUAAAGGCCUACCAAGCCGACGAUCUCUAGCUGGUCUGAGAGGAUGACCAGCCACACUGGAACUGAGACACGGUCCAGACUCCUACGGGAGGCAGCAGUGGGGAAUAUUGCACAAUGGGGGGAACCCUGAUGCAGCCAUGCCGCGUGAAUGAAGAAGGUCUUCGGGUUGUAAAGUUCUUUCGGUGAUGAGGAAGGGUGGUGUUUUAAUAGAACAUUACAUUGACGUUAGUCACAGAAGAAGCACCGGCUAACUCCGUGCCAGCAGCCGCGGUAAUACGGAGGGUGCGAGCGUUAAUCGGAAUGACUGGGCGUAAAGGGCACGCAGGCGGUGACUUAAGUGAGAUGUGAAAGCCCCGAGCUUAACUUGGGAAUUGCAUUUCAUACUGGGUUGCUAGAGUAUUUUAGGGAGGGGUAGAAUUCCACGUGUAGCGGUGAAAUGC